rnacentral:rRNA from 1 species
CAGUAGCCGCGGGAAUACAGAGGGUGCGAGCGUUAAUCGGAUUUACUGGGCGUAAAGCGUGCGUAGGCGGCUUCUUAAGUCGGAUGUGAAAUCCCUGAGCUUAACUUAGGAAUUGCAUUCGAUACUGGGAAGCUAGAGUAUGGGAGAGGAUGGUAGAAUUCCAGGUGUAGUGGUGAAAUGCGUAGAGAUCUGGAGGAAUACCGAUGGCGAAGGCAGCCAUCUGGCCUAAUACUGACGCUGAGGUACGAAAGCAUGGGGAGCAAACAGGAUUAGAUACCCCUGUAGUCCCUGUCUCUUAUAA